AAGGAAGAUAAGAGACGUUUGGAACAACAGAGACAUUAUCACAAGUCCUCUGAUGUUCCAUUUGUCUAAU
rnacentral:sRNA from 1 species